UACGUAGGGUCCGAGCGUUGUCCGGAAUUAUUGGGCGUAAAGCGCACGUAGGCGGUUCGUUAAGUCGGAUGUGAAAGCCCUCGGCUCAACUGAGGAAGUGCACCCGAAACUGGCGAGCUUGAGUACGAAAGAGGAUCGCGGAAUUCCCGGUGUAGAGGUGAAAUUCGUAGAUAUCGGGAGGAACACCGGUGGCGAAGGCGGCGAUCUGGGUCGAUACUGACGCUGAGGUGCGAAAGCGUGGGGAGCAAACAGG
rnacentral:rRNA from 1 species